rnacentral:rRNA from 1 species
GAUGAACGCUGGCGGCGUGCCUAACACAUGCAAGUCGAACGUGAGGGGGUAGCAAUAUCCUUGAAAGUGGCGCACGGGUGAGUAAUACGUAGGUGACCUGCCCUGGAGUGGGGGAUAACAGCUAGAAAUGGCUGCUAAUACCGCAUAAUACCGAAUCAUUGGGAAAUGGAUUGGUAAAAACUCUGGUGCUUCAGGAGGGGCCUGCGGCCGAUUAGCUAGUUGGCGGGUAAGAGCCCACCAAGGCAGUGAUCGGUAGCUGGUCUGAGAGGACGAUCAGCCACACGGGAACUGAGACACGGUCCCGACUCCUACGGGGGGCAGCAGUGAGGAAUAUUGGGCAAUGGGCGGAAGCCUGACCCAGCAAACGCCGCGUUGGAGGGAAAGACGGGCCUUCGGGUUGGUAAACU